rnacentral:sRNA from 2 species
AAUAAGAAUCGGUAGGUGAGGUUACCAUAGGGAUACGGGUUGCUGCCGCGGAGUAGUGGAGACACUAUGAGAAGGUUAGCAGAAUACGUCGAGUUUAAGGCGUAUUUUAACGCAAUUUCAUUGCCCUAUGAAGCUAAAGCUUGAACGGAAUAAAUAA